GGUACAUACACCAUGUCUACAAGCAUGCAAUAGAUGUCAACACCUUUUAAUGCAUUACAGAAUGAAUCAAGCAAAGAAACUGUUGCCUCCCCAUUAGAAGCAAAGGUGUUGCCCCAUGCACCUGUCAGCACGACCACCAUGGUAAAUUGGCUGCCUGCAACUUGUGCACACAUUGCUUCACCACUAAUUCCUUGGGAUUAAACUCUGACAUUGCAGGACGAUCUCCCAUCCCCUGACCGCAACAGCAUGGACCAAAUAAGUGACAAAGGAAAUAUGGAAUGUGCUUGCCAACCUGGCCUCCAGACAUUAAUGGCAGAGUACUCAAGAGAAGAAAAAGACGUGGCAAAUUUCCUACUAGAAAUGGCUUCACGGACAAGGCUUACAGAAAGCAAGGCUGCCCAAGUGACAUCGGGUACUUUUCCACAGAAGUUUGUGAACACGAUAAAUAGUAGCGACGUAAAUACAUUCACAGGCCUGCCAUCAUUCGAUGUUCUGAAUGCUCGUGUGACGUGCUACACAAAAAUUCAUCCACUUUCAGGACGGCACCAGUUAUGUGUAAAAACAAUUGCAUUGACAUUGGUGAAAUUGAAGCAUAUUUCCACUGCAUUCUUGAGUCACCUUUUUAACUGUUCUCUAACUACAUGUAGCAACAUAAUUGCAGAGACUGCUCAGUUGAUGUGUGAAAUUUUAAAAGUAACUGUGGCUGUGCCACCAAAAGAUGAAUUCCAGUGGCGCGUUUGCAUAUUCGGCAUUAGGUGAUUCACCUGAAGUCGUGCCAUGGCUGGCGAUAUUGCAAGUAGCCUGUAUUGCAUAGAGGCAUUUGUGCGUGUGACCUUGGCUCCAUCAAAGCGUGGCGGCCUUGAGAGUAAGUGCAGUCUUCUGUUUGGAAAUCCAGCAUUUUUUAUGCCACUCAGCCACUUCAUACUUUUCAGACACGGUCGUUGCCAUGUGAUCUACAUGCUGCACUUGUUUGCAUUGGCCAAACCUGCAGACUUCAACUUCAACACACUUUUUGUAAAUUAGCAAUGCACAUUCUUUUGCAACUUGUAUUCUUCAUUGAAGUGCUGAUUUACACUACGCAUUCUGAUGCAAGUUUUCAUCUUAUGGUAUUCCGAGAUAUUUGCAGUUCACUUAUGAUCUGUGUGCAUAGAGUUGUGGUUAUUCUUCAAUGGCGGUUUGUUGUCCCUUUCCUUACUUGUAUUUUUUCACAAAAUAAACCACAUGCACUCAA